rnacentral:rRNA from 1 species
UACGUAGGAUGCGAGCGUUGUCCGGAAUUAUUGGGCGUAAAGAGCUCGUAGGCGGUCUGUCGCGUCGAUCGUGAAAACUUGGGGCUUAACCCUGAGCUUGCGGUCGAUACGGGCAUGACUGGAGUUCGGCAGGGGAGACUGGAAUUCCUGGUGUAGCGGUGAAAUGCGCAGAUAUCAGGAGGAACACCGGUGGCGAAGGCGGGUCUCUGGGCCGAUACUGACGCUGAGGAGCGAAAGCGUGGGGAGCGAACAGG